GACGAACGCUGGCGGCGUGCUUAACACAUGCAAGUCGAACGGAAAGGCGCUGCUCUUGUUGGGUGCUCGAGGGGCGAACGGGUGAGUAACACGUGAGUAACCUGCCCUUGACUGUGGGAUACCUUCAGGAAACUGGGGCUAAUACCGGAUAGGAGCUCCUGCUGCAUGGUGGGGGUUGGAAAGUUUCGGCGGUUGGGGAUGGACUCGCGGCUUAUCAGCUUGUUGGUGGGGUAGUGGCUUACCAAGGCGUCGACGGGUAGCCGGCGGGAGCGGGCGACCGGCGACAUGGGGGGUGAGACGCCGCCCUGGCGCCUAAGAGAGGGCGCAGUGGCGUACGGUAGGCAGCGGUGGGAAAUAUUGCCCAGUGAGGGGAAGCGUGAGGCGGCGGCGCCGCGUGCGGGAUGAGGGCCUUCGGGUUGUGAACCGCUUUCGCCUGUGACGAAGCGUGGGUGACGGUAAUGGAUGAAGAAGCACCGGCUAACUACGUG
rnacentral:rRNA from 1 species